AAGUCGUAACAAGGUUUCCGUAGGUGAACCUGCGGAAGGAUCAUUACUUUUAGCUUAAGUGAACAUUUUCAAUGUUUUACUUAUUGCUAUUAAACCAAACACCAAACUGUGCUCUUUUUCCCCACCCCACAUUAUGGGUUUUUGUUAUAUACUCAUUAUAACAUUAUACUCGUCAACCAAUCCAUUUCUACAACUGAUCUAUUGUGUAUUGGUCCCCACUAUCCUCUAUUAUCUUAAUAGUCUAUAGCUGAGUGCCAUUCACAUCUGUACUGAUGAACAUUCCUAAUCUAUAAUCUAUUCAGACUAUAUGGUUAUGCUUGUUUGUUGGUACUUGUUGAACCACAAGAGUGUGCAUAUGGUCUAUACUAUUGUUUAGUACCACUAUGUCUUUCACUCUGUGUAUAAACAACUCCGAACAAUGGAUAUCUUGGCUCU
rnacentral:misc_RNA from 1 species